rnacentral:lncRNA from 10 species
UUCACAUUUAAGAUACAUAUCUAUUUAUGUGAAUAAAUUUCAAAUUAGUGUAUACUAACUAAAUUGUUAUUAAAUUGAUGGCUUUAUUAGCAUAGGUUUAUUCACUUGUGUUCUGAUGAUUUGCUUUUCAGCCUUCUUUUCACAUGGAACUUUUUAAUUUCAUAAAUAUACAAGUGUGCUGCACAUAAAUUUGUUCACAAUAAUUUGGAAAUUAUCAAAACAUUAUAUUUUUUCAGUUGCCAAAAUAAUCUCUUCCUUUAUUUUUCAGCGCUCCCUAUGGAAAGUCCGUGGACAUGUGGUCGGUGGGCUGUAUUCUUGGGGAGCUUAGCGAUGGACAGCCUUUAUUUCCUGGAGAAAGUGAAAUUGACCAACUUUUUACUAUUCAGAAGGUGCUAGGACCACUUCCAUCUGAGCAGAUGAAGCUUUUCUACAGUAAUCCUCGCUUCCAUGGGCUCCGGGUAAGAGGUUUUGCUGAAACCCAAAAUGGAAUCAAUACUGCAGUAUUUGAGUCAUUGUUCAUUGCACAAUGGAAUGCUAAACUAUCCUUUGAAUACUAUUUCUUUUCCCAUUACAGUGUUUAUAAUCCCUAUUAUAAUAUUUUAUUUCCGAAUUUUUUAAUAGUACUUGUGGAUUUAAAAAGUGGUUAGAAUUCAAAUUCUAAUCUUUUUUCUAAUUUUUAAGUUCCAGUUUUUCAAAAUCUUUUUUAGUGUAUACAUUUUUACACACUAAACUUUGGUUAUCUUAUAUUGUUUCUUUAUCCAAAAUAUUAAGCAUCCCCCAAAUAUACCAAAUGUAUGAAUGUUGAACAAACAUAUUUGUAGUGAUUUGAGGAAAGCCCUGAAAACUUGGAUUCCCCAGAUUUGAAGGUUCUUGUUUUAGUAGAUGUUUCUGGUCCACUGACGGUGAAACAUCAAAUCUUCUUUUCAAAUUAGUGUAUUGUCUUGGGUCCGUGCAUGGUGGCUCACUCCUGUAAUCCCAGCACUUUAGGAGGCCAAGUUGGGCAGAACACUUAAGGCCAGGAGUUCGAGACCAGCCUGGCCAACUUUGUGAAACCCCAUCUCUACAAAAAAAUACAAAAAUUAGCCAGGCAUGGAGGUGCACACCUGUAGUCCCAGCUACUCGGGAGGCAGAGGCAGGAGAAUUGCUUGAACCCAAGAGGCAGAGGUUGCAGUGAGCCGACAUCAUGCCACUGCACUCCAGCCUGGGUGACAGAGUGAGAUUCUGUCUCAAAAAAAAAAACAAAAACAAAAAAAAAACAACAACUAGUGUAUUGUCUUGGGCAGCCUUUCCUAGACUUGACAACUUUGUACAAAACUUUUCUGAGAAUAUGUGAAAUAGCGUCUUAGAAAGUAUAAACUUUCCCCAAAUGAGGAGGAGUCACCUUAUUAGAGUGCCCAGUGAGUUAUAGGCUACUUCUUCCACCUACCCCAAAAACAACUUUUUAAGUUUUCAGCCAGUUUUUUUUUUUUAUUAUACUUUAAGUUCUAGGGUACAUGUGCACAACAUGCAAGUUUGUUACAUAUGUAUACAUGUGCCAUGUUGGUGUGCUGCACCCAUUAACUUGUCAUUUACAUUAGGUAUAUCUCCUAAUGCUAUUUUCCCCCCUCCCCCAACCCCAUGACAGGCCCCAGUGUGUGAUGUUCCCCAUCCUGUGUCCAAGUGUUCUCAUUGUUCAUUUCCCACCUAUGAGUGAGAACAUGCAGUAUUUGGUUUUCUGUCCUUGGGAUAGUUUGCUGAGAAUGAUGGUUUCCAGCUUUAUCCAUGUCCCUACAAAGGACAUGAACUCAUCCUUUUUUAUGGCUGCAUAGUAUUCCAUGGUGUAUAUGUGCCACAUUUUUUUAAUCCAGUCUAUCAUUGAUGGACAUUUGGGUUGGGUCCAAGUCUUUGCUAUUGUGAAUAGUGCCGCAGUAAACAUAUGUGUGCAUGUGUCUUUAUAGCAGCAUGAUUUAUAAUCCUUUAUAUACCUGGUAAUGGGAUGGCUGGGUCAAAUGGUAUUUCUAGUUCUAGAUCCUUGAGGAAUCACCACACUGACUUCCACAAUGGUUGAACUAGUUUACAGUCCCACCAACAGUGUAAAAGUGUUCCUAUUUCUCCACAUCCUCUCCAGCACCUGUUGUUUCCUGACUUUUU